GAAAGAAGGAGCAGAGUACUUGUAAAAAAGGAGAAAGAAGGAAUAGUGUAUUUGUAGGAUAGGAGAAUGAAGGAGCGGAGUAUUUGUAAGAAAUCAGAAAGAAGGAGCAGAGUAUUUGUAGAAUAGGAGAAAGAAGGAGCAGAGUAUUUGUAGAAUAGGAGAAAGAAGGAGCAGAGUAUUUGUAGAAUAGGAGAAAGAAGGAGCAGAG